GACGAACGCUGGCGGCGUGCCUAAUACAUGCAAGUCGAACGAAGCUGUUUUAACUGGUGCUUGCACCGACUUAAACAACUGAGUGGCGAACGGGUGGGUAACACGUGGGUAACCUGCCCCAAAGCGGGGGAUAACAUUUGGAAACAGAUGCUAAUACCGCAUAACCACAGAAACCACAUGGUUUCUGUGUCAAAGAUGGUUUCGGCUAUCACUUUGGGAUGGACCCGCGGCGUAUUAGCUAGUUGGUAAGGUAAUGGCUUACCAAGGCAAUGAUACGGAGCCGAACUGAGAGGUUGAUCGGCCACAUUGGGACUGAGACACGGCCCAAACUCCUACGGGAGGCAGCAGUAGGGAAUCUUCCACAAUGGACGAAAGUCUGAUGGAGCAACGCCGCAUGAGUGAAGAAGUUUUUCGGAUCGUAGAACUCUGUUGUCAGAGAAGAACGUGUGCGAGAGUAACUGCUCGUGCAGUGACGGUAUCUGGCCAGAAAGCCACGGCUAACUACGUGCCAGCAGCCGCCGUAA
rnacentral:rRNA from 1 species